GAUUCUGGCUCAGGAUGAACGCGGGCGGCGUGCUUAACACAUGCAAGUCGAGCGGAGUUACAAUGGAAAGAUCUUCGGAAAUGGAAGCUGUAAACUUAGCGGCGGACGGGUGCGUAACGCGUGGGUAAUCUGCCCCUAUCAUCGGGAUAACACAUCGAAAGAUGUGCUAAUACCGAAUAACAUACUUUUUUGGCAUCAAGAGAGUAUCAAAGUGUUAGCGGAUAGGGAUGAGCCUGCGUCUGAUUAGCUAGUUGGUGGGGUAAAGGCCUACCAAGGCGACGAUCAGUAGCCGACCUGAGAGGGUGAUCGGCCACACUGGAACUGAGACACGGUCCAGACUCCUACGGGAGGCAGCAGUGGGGAAUAUUGCACAAUGGGCGCAAGCCUGAUGCAGCAACGCCGCGUGAGCGAAGAAGGUCUUCGGAUCGUAAAGCUCUGUCGCAUGGGAAGAUAA
rnacentral:rRNA from 2 species